GGCGAACGUUUGCGGCGGGCCUUACACAUGCAAGUCGAACGAGAACCCUUCGGGGGGACAGUGGCGCACGGGUGCGUAACACGUGGGUACCAACCCCCCAGUUCGGGACAACAGUGGGAAACCGCUGCUAAUACCGGAUACGUCAGCAAUGGGAAAGACCCGCAAGGGUUGCUGGGGACGGGCUCGCGGCCAUCAGCUUGUGGUGAGGUAAUGGCUCACCAAGGCGAAGACGGGUAGCUGGUCUGAGAGGAUGAUCAGCCACACUGGAACUGAGACACGGUCCAGACUCCUACGGGAGGCAGCAGUGGGGAAUAUUGCGCAAUGGGCGAAAGCCUGACGCAGCCACGCCGCGUG
rnacentral:rRNA from 1 species